rnacentral:rRNA from 1 species
AUCGAGAACUUGCUCGUCGGCCAAGAACUAAAGUUGGGGUAUCGAAAACGAUUAGAGACCGUUGUAGUCCCAACCACAAACUUUGCUGACUGGCUUUGUGCGAGGUCGAGCUUCGGCGCAGAUCUCGUGCGGGGCCUAGGCGAAAGCAUAGUCUUCGAGUCUCUUGGAGAGUAUGCCCGCAAGAGUGAAAUUUAAAAGAGUUGGCGGAGUCCCAUACAUGAACUGGGACGUGCGGCUUAAUUUGAUUCAACACGGGAAAACUUACCAGGGCCUCGGCACGUGUGAGUCGCCCUCGUCACCUCCGUGAAGGGUUUGGUUGAAAUCCGGCGACGAUUGUGUCUGGGGUUGUGCAUGGCCACCCGAGGCCGAUGGAGUGAUUUUUUGGUUAAGUCCGCGAAUCGGCGAGACCCAAGCUCCCAGUUCCGACCGCUCGACGGAAGGCUGGGAGUACCGGACGCGUAAACGUCAGGUGGGAC